UGGCGGUUCCUGCUGCCUCCUCAAAACUAGGGUUUCGACGGAACCCUAUCUCUGUUUCGCCCUCUCUUUCUCGAUCUCGGGGUCGAAUCCCCUUCUUCGAGGAGGCGAUCGGAAUCUUGCUCGAUCUUUCUCCAAGUUUUGAUUGGCGGAGCCGGUGCUGGAGAUGUCGACAGAAAGGAAGAGGAAGGUGAGCCUCUUCGACGUGGUGGACGACACUUCCGUGUCCGUGAAGCUGGGCAAGGCGAACGGAUCCUUAUCCGCUAAGACGGCGGCGCUUCCGCCGGGGGUAAACCGCUGGAGCGGUCGGCCCUACUCGCAGAGGUACCACGAGAUCCUGGAGAAGAGGAAGACCCUCCCGGUAUGGCAGCAGAAAGAAGAGUUCUUGCACGUAUUGAAGGCCAACCAGACUCUGAUCUUGGUCGGAGAGACCGGCAGUGGUAAAACAACUCAGAUUCCCCAGUUUGUCUUGGAAUGUGAGGACUUGGGCAAACGCCCAAUGGUUGCUUGCACUCAGCCUCGAAGAGUCGCUGCAAUGUCUGUUUCUCGUCGAGUUGCUGAGGAGAUGGAUGUAACAAUAGGAGAAGAAGUUGGUUAUAGCAUCCGAUUUGAAGAUUGCAGCAGUCACAGGACUAUUUUGAAGUACUUAACUGAUGGUAUGCUUUUAAGAGAAGCAAUGGCUGAUCCACUUUUGGAGAGAUAUAAGGUGAUAAUUCUUGAUGAGGCUCAUGAACGAACAUUAGCAACUGAUGUCUUGUUUGGGCUGCUGAAAGAAGUACUGAGAAAUAGACCUGAUUUGAAGCUAGUGGUAAUGAGUGCAACGCUCGAGGCUGAGAAGUUCCAGGGUUACUUUAGUGGGGCCCCUUUAAUGAAAGUACCUGGUAGAUUGCAUCCAGUGGAAAUUUUCUACACACAAGAGCCUGAAAGAGAUUACCUGGAAGCUGCCAUUCGAACUGUUGUACAGAUACACAUGUGUGAACCUUCAGGUGACAUACUUGUUUUUCUCACUGGAGAGGAAGAAAUAGAAGAUGCAUGUAGGAAAAUAACAAAGGAGAUCAAUAAUUUGGGUGACCAAGUUGGCCCUGUGAAAGUGGUGCCUUUGUAUUCAACUUUGCCCCCAGCCAUGCAGCAGAAGAUAUUUGAACCUGCACCAGCGCCACUGGAGGAAGGUGGCCCGGCGGGACGAAAAAUUGUGGUGUCGACAAACAUUGCAGAAACAUCAUUGACCAUCGAUGGCAUUGUUUAUGUUAUUGACCCUGGUUUCUCAAAACAAAAGGUGUACAACCCACGAAUACGGGUGGAAUCUUUGCUCGUCUCUCCAAUAUCAAAGGCAAGUGCGCAUCAAAGAGCAGGACGUGCUGGUAGAACCCAACCAGGAAAAUGUUUUAGACUUUACACAGAGAGAAGUUUUAAAAAUGACCUGCAAGAGCAAACAUAUCCAGAAAUUCUCCGGUCUAAUUUGGCAAAUACUGUUCUUACCUUGAAGAAACUUGGGAUUGAUGAUCUGGUUCAUUUUGACUUUAUGGAUCCUCCUGCUCCUGAAACAUUGAUGCGGGCACUUGAGGUCUUGAAUUACCUAGGUGCUCUUGAUGAUGAUGGCAACUUGACUAAGUUAGGUGAACUUAUGAGCGAGUUUCCCCUGGAUCCUCAGAUGGCGAAGAUGUUGGUUGUGAGUCCAGAGUUCAAUUGUUCCAAUGAGAUCGUGUCAAUAUCUGCAAUGCUCUCAGUUUCGUGUCGACUCCAUGCUUAUGCUGACCUUCCGUGGACUUCAUCUGUGAUAACCAAUUCUAUUUCUAGUACCCAAUUGCUUUCUCCGGCCUAGGGAGGCUCAGAAAGCUGCAGAUGAAGCUAAAGCUCGGUUUGGCCACAUCGAUGGGGAUCACCUAACACUGUUGAAUGUAUAUCAUGCAUAUAAACAAAAUAGUGAAGAUUCUUCAUGGUGUUAUGAAAAUUUUAUUAACCAAAGGACUUUAAAGGCUGCUGACAAUGUGAGACAACAGCUCGUGCGGAUCAUGGCUAGAUUCAACCUGAAACUAUGCAGUACAGACUUCAACAGCCGUGAUUAUUACAUUAACAUCAGGAAGGCGAUGCUUGCAGGGUACUUCAUGCAGGUAGCUCAUCUUGAGAGAACCGGACACUAUUUGACGGUGAAGGACAAUCAGGUUGUUCACCUCCAUCCAUCAACCUGCCUGGAUCAUAAGCCGGAAUGGGUCAUCUACAAUGAGUAUGUCUUGACCAGUAGGAACUUUAUUCGCACAGUGACAGACAUUCGAGGAGAGUGGUUGAUUGAUAUAGCUCCACACUAUUAUGAUCUGAGCAACUUCCCCUCCUGUGAGGCAAAACGAGUGCUGGAAAGGCUGUAUAAUAAACGUGACAAAGAGAAGGGGGAGAGCAAGACUAGAAAUAAGCCUUUGUAGCUAUGUACUCACCACCAUUUGGUAUGCCAUCACGGACUAGCUCGAGAACAGUUGAGACUUCGAUCUGACAAGCGGGAUGGCUUGCACAUUUAGAAAGAGUGCAUUUCUUUUGGGAAGGACAGACACUAUAAAGCUCGUUCUCACUGUGUUUGAUCAGAUAAGAAGGCAACUAUUUUGCUCCCAAAUAGUUGAGGAUGCUUUUAUACUUAUCCUAGGACUCCACAUCUGCGAGUGCUAUCAGAUUGUUUAAGUGUCGUACCUAUUUGGGGUUUAGGAAAUGGAAAACAUGUCUCCCUUGUUUGGUUCCGCCGCCGGUGCCUUGUCCCCGUAGUUUGAAUUGUCUAUUUAUUUGAUUGUCGCAGGUGAAAUAUAGAAUCUUUAAUCACUGUCUGGUUACAAGUUGAGAUGUUGCAUCCUCUGGAACAACGGCCUUCUCGUCCAAUGUAGUUGCUGCAUUGCAAGAAUCUCUGAGUUAUGUUGAUGGAUCUUUUCUGUA